AAAACAGUCGACGUCUUCUUAAACUUUCACAUAUACCUUACUGAGCUGUGUUUUAAGUUUUUUCUUGUAAAUUGUGCUCUGCUUGAUGCUAUGUAUGACAUCUGAAUAUAUUCUACAUUUUCGCAUUCGGCGCUGAUUGCCGCUUUCUCCCAUCAUCGCAACCUGCGCGCGAAAAAUUGCGCGGGGUUGGUUGGACUCAUCGCGCUGAUUACAUACGGCGUCGAAAUCAAUCAUGCACGCUUUUUUGAAAACGGCCAACCCAAACUUAACUCUUCCCAAGGAGAAAACUAAGGAACCCAAGCAGGUUCAGAAGAAACCAGUGCAUAUUCCGUGGGUGGAAAAAUACCGACCGAAAACUGUAGACGAUGUGGCUCACCAAGAUGAGGUGGUUUCUGUCCUUAAAAAGUCGCUUCAGGGAGCCGAUCUUCCCAAUCUCCUGUUUUAUGGACCACCAGGAACAGGAAAGACAUCCACUAUACUUGCUCUUGC